rnacentral:rRNA from 1 species
UACGGAGGGUGCAAGCGUUAUCCGGAUUUACUGGGUUUAAAGGGUGCGUAGGUGGGUCUGUAAGUCCGUGGUGAAAUCUCCGAGCUUAACUUGGAAACUGCCAUGGAUACUAUAGAUCUUGAAUACUGUGGAGGUUAGCGGAAUAUGUCAUGUAGCGGUGAAAUGCUUAGAUAUGACAUAGAACACCAAUUGCGAAGGCAGCUGGCUACACAAAUAUUGACACUGAUGCACGAAAGCGUGGGGAUCAAACAGG